UACGGAGGAUCCAAGCGUUAUCCGGAAUCAUUGGGUUUAAAGGGUCCGUAGGCGGUUUUGUAAGUCAGUGGUGAAAUCCGGCAGCUCAACUGUCGAACUGCCAUUGAUACUGCAGGACUUGAAUUAUUGUGAAGUAACUAGAAUAUGUAGUGUAGCGGUGAAAUGCUUAGAUAUUACAUGGAAUACCCAUUGCGAAGGCAGGUUACUAACAAUGGAUUGACGCUGAUGGACGAAAGCGUGGGGAGCGAACAGGAUUAGAACCU
rnacentral:rRNA from 1 species